GCCUGGACUCGGACACAAGCCUUGACCCAUCUGUCUAUGGUCUGGACCAGCUUUCACCUGUGCAUCACUCGCCGGACUUCUGGAAACGAUAGGAUGAUCUUGGAGUACUAUGGACGAGAGCUUUAACAACUGAGGGGCGUGUGUCAUGUAGUACUUACAAGCACAUCGGUUGUCAACAUUACGGUUUUUUGUGUGACCUGUAACUUGAAAACUACUGUGUAGAGUCUUUUCAAACUUAGUGUAGGCUUUUAAUACCAAUAUUAGAGGUACAGUGUGACGUUUAUUUUAAUACUUGGAUUUUUUUAAAGAAUACUGCUGUUUUUCAUUUUACUUAAAAUUCAUUUACUUCAUCGUCAUUAUACCUUAAUCACUACACCAUGGAUGCCUAUAAAAUUCAGGGAACGAUUUCAGUACUCAACAGAACAGUUAAAAUGCAACUUAUGA